rnacentral:rRNA from 1 species
AACGCUGGCGGCGUGCUUAACACAUGCAAGUCGAACGAGAAAGCUCCUUCGGGAGUGAGUACAGUGGCGAACGGGUGCGUAACACGUUGGUGACCUGCCUUGAGGAGGGGGACAACCGUGGGAAACCACGGCUAAUACCCCGGAUGUCUAAACUGUUAGAGGGUUUAGACUAAAACUUCGGUGCCUCAAGAGGGGCCUGCGGGCUAUCAGCUUGUUGGUGGGGUAAUGGCCUACCAAGGCUAAGACGGCUAGGGGGCGUGAGAGCGCGACCCCCCACAAUGGAACUGAGACACGGUCCAUACUCCUACGGGAGGCAGCAGUGAGGAAUAUUGCGCAAUGGGGGAAACCCUGACGCAGCAACGCCGCGUGAACGAUGAAGGCCUUCGGGUCGUAAAGUUCUUUUCUAAGGGAAGAUAGUGACGGUACCUUAGGAAUAAGUCCCGGCUAACUACGUGCCAGCAGCCGCGGUAAAACGUAGGGGGCGAGCGUUAUCCGGAUUUAUUGGGCGUAAAGCGCACGUAGGUGGCGCUGUAAGUUAGACGUGAAAGCUCUCGGCUCAACUGAGAGAGGUCGUUUAAAACUGCAGUGCUUGAGGUUAGAAGAGGAGAGCAGAAUUCCCGGUGUAGUGGUGGAAUGCGUAGAUAUCGGGAGGAAUACCAGUGGCGAAGGCGGCUCUCUAGUCUACACCUGACACUGAGGUGCGAAAGCGUGGGUAGCGAACCGGGAUUAGAUACCCCGGUAGUCCACGCUGUAAACGAUGGAUACUAGGUGUAGGGGGUCAUUUAACCCCUCUGUGCCGAAGCAAACGCGUUAAGUAUCCCGCCUGGGGACUACGGCCGCUAAGGUUUAAAUUCCAAAGGGAUUGACGGGGUCCCGCACAAGCAGCGGAGCGUGUGGUUUAAUUCGAUGAUACGCGAAGAACCUUACCUGGGCUUGAACUACGUGGUAGUAGUGAAGCGAAAGCGGAUCGACCCUUCGGGGAGCCUCGAUAGUUGCUGCAUGGCUAUCGUCAGCUCGCGUCGUGAGAUGUUGGGUUAAGUCCCGCAACGAGCGCAACCCUCGUCGCUAGUUACAAGUGUCUAUGCGAGACUGCCGGUAUCAAACCGGAGGAAGGUGGGGAUGACGUCAAGUCAGCAUGGUCUUUAUGUCCAGGGCUACACACACGCUACAAUGGUCGGUACAAUAGGUUGCCACACCGCGAGGUGGAGCUAAUCCUCAAAGCCGAUCUCAGUUCGGAUUGUAGUCUGCAACUCGACUACAUGAAGGCGGAGUUGCUAGUAACCGCGCGUCAGCAUAGUGC